UGUCACCAUUACUAGAGGUGAAAUGAUAAUUGCAGCCCUGUGGGGAGGUGAGGUCACAGGAUCACAAAGCAUAUCUCUCAGACCUGCCUGCCCCCUCCCACACACUCACUGGCUGUGCUGACCUGAUUGUGACGCCUGAGCCCAUCAGCACUGGAAGAAACUCAGGGGAGUAUUUUAUAUUUUGGUCUGUGAGGCAUAGUCUGCGAGGGAAGUGAGUGUAUUAGGAGCUGGGGUAAGUGUUCUAGUCUGAAAAAGGGAUUCUUUAAGGCUGGAAACUGAGCCAGUACAAGAUUCAUGCAAAGAGGAGGAAAUGACUGAGUUAUGGGUUGAACUUAUGGAAAGGAUACAGGUCAAAACCAUAGACCAGUCCCUAACUGUUUCUAAUUUAAUUUAAUGUAAUCCUCAUUGUUCAUCAUUGUUGAUUUUGAUAAAGGCAUAGAUUCCUGGAUUUUUUGAGGUUUUCUAGUAUAAUUUCAGAAUUAAUUUCCCAGAUGCUCUACAUUCCCUAUAGGAGUCAGGGACACCAUUUCUAGGAAGGAUAGAGGUGUUUCUACAAUGCCUUCAUGGCUGUGAUAAUGGAUAAGAUAUGGCUGAUUCAAUUACUUUAUUCUGUCUAGAAAUAGUAAAUAUGGGGUUUUGCCAAUUCUAGGGAUAUUAAUAUUCCUAAUGGAGACCGUAACUUUGUGGUGACAGAGAACACAUGUUGUCCAUCAUUGUGGCAUAUGACUGUUUUUCUUCACGAAGUCAACGGGAAAGAGGUUUAACCACCACUAUGAUCACUCACAUAGGAGAGAGUGUGUGAACCCCAGACCCAGACCCUGCCCUCAUAGGACUUAUCACAUGGCAAGAACAGUAGGUACAGAUUGAAUAUUGAAAAUGCUUUCAUAAAUUCCAUUUCAUUAAUUACUUCAGUGCUAAAGCUUUAAGGUAAGAACUAUUUUAAAACUGGACCUCAACAAAUUGGGGAAUAAGGGAGCUUAUAAGAGUGUGUGACUUUAAACUAAUUAAUUUAAAAUGCCCUGAAAUUAUCUGGGCACAGAAGCAUAAUAAGGGCUUAACAAAAUGGCAACAAUGGGUAUUAUCCUAUCAUACAAGUGGGAAGAAAAAGCAGUAACUCCACAGCAAGUGGUCCAGGACAGAGCUUGAGGGAAAUAAUGUAUCAGACACUGCAUGAUAUCAAAGACCAGGUUUUGUCAUUUUACCUCAAAUCACAAAAAGAAAGUUAGUCAUUUGAAAUAUGUAAAUUUUUUUGUGGAAGGAGAGUAGUAUAUUUUUUCUAAUAUUUUCAGGUAAAAAUGUACAGAAAAACCUGGUUGGGGCAAAGUGGGCACAAGAAUCUUGUUAAUCGGUCUUAGUGAGAAUUUAAUUGACGGCUAAUAAAUAGGAGACUCAUACAAGAAAGAAACUGCUUUCUAGAAACCUUUGAGAGUGAACUAUUUUGUGUCAAGCAAUGAUCUAAAUUAGCCUGUUCUGAAGAGAGAGACUGGAUGUAUCCCACCUCCUGAAUUUUGGAAAGUGAACCUGUGGUGGAACCUGACCAUGGAGGAGCUGAGGACAACGCCUCUGGGCACGAAGGUCAUGGUCCCAUUUUUAUAGAGUGAGAACUGCUGGUUUGAAAUAGUCAAGGCAGAAUUUUUGAGAGUAUUAUAAAAUAAACUUGGCAAUUCUUUCACCAAAGUGAAAAAUUAAACCAACUCUUUGUGGUUAUCAUUAGAUAACACAGAUGAAAUUUAUUAAUUAUUCAAAAAUUCCAACCAUACAAUAAACAAAAUUGACUUAAUUGACAAAAAUUGAACCUGGGCUUUAUACCACAUUUUUCAGCUAUUUGGAUCAAUUUAAAUAAUUUGAACUCAAGAAAUAUUUUAACAAAUAUAAAAUAUUUUACUCAAAGAGGUUAUCUUUGGCACCCUUUAGGUUAUAAUAUUUUCUAAAUAGUAUAUUAAAGUUUUUUAAAUAUUAAAACUAAUAGUAAGCCAUAUUACUAAUAAAUAUUGAUAUUGUUUAGACUAAAAGACAAUGGAGAUCUCCAUAUCCAAGUUGCUUACUGUGUUUGAUUCAAGAGUAUUUAGGUGAAAUAACACAGCUGAAAACUCAAUUCCCAGAAUAGGAGAUGCCUGACAAUAUGUGUGCUAGAUGUCAGUCUCUGGAAUUCACAACAGUAAGCAUAGGCUAAAUGCAAGGAAUGUGCAAUAGGAAACUAUAAUGUAGGCAAUGAAAUAUAGAAUAAUUAUUACAUGGAAUAUAAUAAAUAAGGAUAAAAUUAAUAAUAAAAUUACAGAUCCAAUGCCAUGUUAAGAAAAAUGUGAAAAGACACACUCAAAUAUUAUUAAUAAUUGACAGUAUGAAAACUGGUGAUGGAGUUUUUAAACCCAUACAGACAAAUAUAAACAACUGUAUGGUAAUAAAUAAUAAAUUAGAAAACUGAGAGGAAAAGUUAUAUUUAUAAAGUAUUGGCUACCAAAUAUGAAGUAAAAAGAUAAUUAGAAACUUUAAAAAAAUAAAUUUUAAGUAUCUAGAAUCAUUACCCAAAAAUUCCAAUUGUUUUAAAUUAUCCUUUCCCCAUAAUUUUAAGGUUCAGGUAUUUCUCUUUGAAACCUAUUUUAUUAAACAGGAAAAAAGAAAGGCCAUGGAAACCUUUUCUGUGGAUAUUACUUACAUUAUACCAAAAAUUGAAAAAAGCCAACAUAAAUUAUGAAUUGAACAUAAAAUUAAUGUAUAGGUAUAUAAAAAGACCACAAAUAAUUCACUUCAGAAAUGCAAGAUCAAACAAUGAUAGAAUCAAGUUAUAUUAUUCAAUCCCAUCAAAAAGUGAGGAAACCCUCAUCAAAAGGCUCAAAACAACAAAUACUGACGAGGAUGUGGAGAGAUAGGAACACUCUUACACCACUGGUGGGACUACAAAUUAGU